ACCGGCAGCUCAAGUGGUGGCCAUUUUUAUUGGGCCUAAAGCGUUCGUAGCCGGUUUGAUAAGUCUCUGGUGAAAUCCCGCAGCUUAACUGUGGGACUUCAUGGAGAUACUAUUAGAUUUGAGGUCGGGAGAGGUUAGGGGUACUCCCAGGGUAGGGGUGAAAUCCUAUAGUCCUAGGAGGACCACCUGUGGCGAAGGCGCCUAACUGGAACGAGCCUGACGCUGAGUAACGAAAGCCAGGGUCGCUAACCA
rnacentral:rRNA from 1 species